rnacentral:rRNA from 1 species
GACGAACGCUGGCGGCGUGCCUAAUACAUGCAAGUAGAACGCACGGUUUAUACCGUAGCUUGCUACACCAUAGACUGUGAGUUGCGAACGGGUGAGUAACGCGUAGGUAACCUGCCUGGUAGCGGGGGAUAACUAUUGGAAACGAUAGCUAAUACCGCAUAAUAUUGAUUAUUGCAUGAUAAUUGAUUGAAAGAUGCUAUUGCAUCACUACCAGAUGGACCUGCGUUGUAUUAGCUAGUAGGUGAGGUAACGGCUCACCUAGGCGACGAUACAUAGCCGACCUGAGAGGGUGAUCGGCCACACUGGGACUGAGACACGGCCCAGACUCCUACGGGAGGCAGCAGUAGGGAAUCUUCGGCAAUGGACGAAAGUCUGACCGAGCAACGCCGCGUGAGUGAAGAAGGUUUUCGGAUCGUAAAGCUCUGUUGUAAGAGAAGAACGGGUGUGAGAGUGGAAAGUUCACACUGUGACGGUAUCUUACCAGAAAGGGACGGCUAACUACGUG